rnacentral:rRNA from 1 species
AGUCACUGACAUUAGAUACCCCUGUAGUCCAGGGUGUAAACGCUGCAGACUUGGUGUUGGAAGUCCUUUGGGGGCAUUCAGUGCCGGAGAGAAGUUGUUAAGUCUGCUACGUUGGGGAGUACGUCCGCAAGGAUAGAAACUUAAAGGAAUUGGCGGGGGAGCACCGCAACGGGAGGAGCGUGCGGUUUAAUUGGAUUCAACACCGUAAACUCACCAGGGAAGACUGUUACAUGAAAGCCGAGAUGAAGACUCUGCUAGUAUUUUCAG